rnacentral:rRNA from 1 species
UACGUAGGCAGCAAGCGUUGUUCGGAAUUACUGGGCGUAAAGCGCGUGUAGGCUGCUUCGCAAGUCGGGUGUGAAAGCCCUGGGCUCAACCUAGGAAGUGCACUCGAAACUGCGAAGCUUGAGUCCUGGAGAGGAAGGCGGAAUUCUCGGUGUAGAGGUGAAAUUCGUAGAUAUCGAGAGGAACACCGGUGGCGAAGGCGGCCUUCUGGACAGUGACUGACGCUGAGACGCGAAAGCGUGGGGAGCAAACAGG